rnacentral:rRNA from 1 species
AACGAACGCUGGCGGCAUGCCUAACACAUGCAAGUCGAACGAGACCUUCGGGUCUAGUGGCGCACGGGUGCGUAACGCGUGGGAAUCUGCCCUUGUGGUUCGGAAUAACUCAGAGAAAUUUGAGCUAAUACCGGAUGAUGACGUAAGUCCAAAGAUUUAUCGCCCAGGGGAUGAGCCCGCGUAAGAUUAGCUUGUUGGUGAGGUAAAGGCUCACCAAGGCGACGAUCUUUAGCUGGUCUGAGAGGAUGAUCAGCCACACUGGGACUGAGACACGGCCCAG